UCCUUGGUAUUCUGUUUGAGUAUCCUGAAACGGGCUUUUCAUGAUCAGAAUACCAAUUAAUUUUAGAAAUAGGAGUGCAUAGUGGCCCGUAUUGCAGGCAUUAACAUUCCUGAU
rfam:Rodentibacter rarus strain CCTG17206 contig_23, whole genome shotgun sequence.